GAGUAGUGUGACAUGCCCGUUUGGGAUAUACUCUGAUAUUUAUUUAUUAAUUAAUUGUUUGGGAUAACGGGAUGUUACAUUAUC
rnacentral:pre_miRNA from 1 species